GCAACUACAAAACAAAGAAGUAUCCAUAACCAGAUACGAAAUUAAAGACCAGCCACAGGCCCAUAGCACAUUGAAAAAUCAAAAAAUUAUCAACAUGACCAUAUCUAAAUUCUGCCCCCCAACAUUCAGCAACAAACAAAGCCAGCAAAACCAGCAAUAAUUAGAAGCCAGCAACUACAAAUCAAAGCAAAACCAGCAACUACAAAUCAAAGCCAUUAGCAAAUGUGAACAAAAAAAUUAGGAGCCAUCAGCAACCAGUAAACCAGUAAAAGUGUAAAACACUAGCCAACGAGAAAUUAGAAAACACUAAACAGAGUAACAAUAAAUUUGAAAACAGAGAAAACACUAAAAUAGAGAAAACACUAAAACACUAACCUGGGUAAUUAGUUAAUUACAGAUCCAUCAAAAAAUACAUUCAUAAAUUAGAAGAAUCUUGUGACUGACUAUUACUCAAACAGGCAUUAUCAGCAACUGCUUCUUGAUUAAUACUUUCAUCCAUAACUAAAUUCAAUAAAUCAUAAUCCAAAUUAAAAACAGCAACAGAACGGCUAGAAAUCCAAUAAUCAUCCAUAAGACCAUAGAACAGAAUCAGUAACAAAUCCAUUACUCAAUUUCAGAAACAAAUCCAUUACUCAAUUUCAGAAUCAGUAACAAAUCAGUAACAAAAGCACAUAUUAGAACAGAAUCAGUAACAUACCAGAAAUCAAU
rnacentral:lncRNA from 1 species